CCUGGUACCUUCCGAAUGAAUACAUCUGCUGAAUAAAUGAGUAAAUGGAAGAUCAGGGUUUCUCAGCCUAUCACCUUUCGAAACCUCUUCGUAUACCCUCUUGUAUUAAAACGAGUGACAUUCUGUCUACACUGAAAACAGAAAACUUCAUCGUAAAGUUGUGUAACUACUGUGAAGUUACUCUAGCAUUGCUGGUGCGUCCACCCAUGGAGUGUCGCUGGCUGUUCUCGUGCACAGCCUCACACUAGGUUUUCCCAGCCAGGCUGCAAACGACUGAAGUUCAAGGCCUUCCAUCAUGCUACACACGCAGGCAACUUGAAUCAACACACAUACCGGCUUGACGAAAGAGGACUAUAGUUAGUAAAACACAUUAACACAAUAAUUGAAAACACAUACAAGGGGAAAGCAGUACUCAAACAGUAAAGAGAAGCUGCUUGUACGAGCAGUGACAGCCCGAUGGUGGCCACCCUCCUCUGCUCGUGGUCAGUGCAUUAACAGAGGAGAAAAGACAGAAACCGUGGGAAAUGCAGACCAUCUGCUCCAUCCAGAUGCAAAAACACACGCCUCUUACAGCCAAAGCUUUUCACCAGAACCGGACGGAGAUCAGAUCUAAUCCUCUCAUGAAAUAUCCGACAAAGAGUUGCUCUUCUAACAAGUGAUGUCAACUGCGAAUAAGCAAAGAGUUUCAGAGGUUGCCAGAUUGUCACAGACGACUUUUGAGAACCCAGUUUCAUUCCCAAGGCUGCUAUCAAUAAAUCUUGCUGACGGCCCUCUUGUUUUGAUUUGUGAACUGCAGCUCUAUUAGUUUUCCUACCCGACCAAGACUCUUUGGAUGGCAUUUUGGAAUUCGCAGGAAAGCAAUAAAACCUAUAUUGAUCUAUGUCUGUCGAUGAACUCUAUUCAGCUAACAAAUGAGCAUUCUGCCAGCCAGCACAGAACCCUAAUCUACAGAGAGCUGCAGAGAAACAUCGCGGAGAGGUGGAGGAGGAUGAUGAAGCACUUCUUAAAAAGAGGUCGACUAACCAGAAAAAUUCUUCUUUCUUCCUUUUUUUUUUUUUUAAAGGGCUCUAUAUUUAAGCUUCUGAAAACUUAAGAGUCUGAACAGAAAUAAAGAGUCGAUGCUAACAUACAAAGCA